GAAAAGUGUCGGGAAGGAAUUUAGUUCACAAACAUGUCAGGAUAGCUUCAGGCUUACUCGAGUUUUGAUUCAAGCUUCUCAUUCCUCUUAAAUUCUUUCCAGGCCAAAAGGGAUUAAAUAGUUGCUAAUCUUCAAUCAUCCGGCGUUUCCCUGGGAUCAGUGCUGGAGGAUGGCCCUGCCGUGCCGUUUCAGCCUCCGGUUCCUUAAUGACAGUAAACCCAGGGGAAUCACAGGCUGGUUAGAGGUGUCCAGAAACUUCUUGGUUAAGUGAUAAGGAACAGCACAACUUCAAACAGAACAAACUGAUCACCUGCUGCCUCCUCAAGCCUUCCAACCGGUAUCACUCC
rnacentral:lncRNA from 1 species